rnacentral:ribozyme from 14 species
UCCGAUCUUUUUUUUUUUUUUUUUUUCGACUGAUGCAAUGCCAUGAGCCGCCAGGUAGUUACAAAACCACCCUGGAGACAUAUAUGUCAGUCCUCCCUUGGAUUUAUGACUAUGAAGGCAAAGUCAAACAGUUAAAAAA